rnacentral:lncRNA from 1 species
ACCGUCCGUGAUGGUUAUAAUAUAUUUAAAUGAGUCAGCUGACUGUGCGUCGGGAGUCGGUUGUCGAUUAGUAAUUCUGAAAUACCGACGGUCGAAGUAGUGUAUGUCUAUAGAAUCCGAACAUCGACCACCUACCGAUCUUGAUUCAAUGAGGGAGUUCGGUUGGUCGGUCGAUAGUAGUAUCGGCCUGCUCAGCUGAUAUAUAGUCGGUAAUUACUUUCAGGAUUGUCUGUUCAUUUGAUGGGUCAGAGUCGGAUGUCGGUUGGUG